UUUGGCGGCGUGCCUAAUACAUGCAAGUCAGGAGAGGGGGGCUUUCGGGGAACUGGAGAGUGGCGCACGGGUGAGUAACACGUAACUGAUCUGCCCUUUAGAAGGGGUCCUUUGGAAACAGAGGCUAAUACCGGAUGUUCUGACGGUAGUUAGAGAGCCGUGAGUAAAGGUUUAGGCGCUAAGGGAGAGGUUGCGAACCAUCAGCUAGUUGGUGAGGUAAAGGCUUACCAAGGCGAUGACGGUUAGGUGACUUGAGAGGGUGGCCCCCCACACUGGGACUGAAACACG
rnacentral:rRNA from 1 species